GCCUCAGUGUCAAAUUGGCUAAGACACUCGCCCCGGAAAGUCGAGAGGUCCCAGGUUCGAAUCCUGGCUGAGGUA
rnacentral:tRNA from 1 species